AUUGAACGCUAGCGGGAUGCUUUACACAUGCAAGUCGAACGAGUGGCGGACGGGUGAGUAAUAUAUCGGAACGUGCCCAGUAGCGGGGGAUAACUACUCGAAAGCGUGGCUAAUACCGCAUACUAUGGUAGCGGCCGAUAUCGGAUUAGCUAGUUGGUGGGGUAAAGGAUCACCAAGGCAACCAGCCGUAGCUGGUGUGAGAGGACGACCAGCCACACUGGGACUGAGACACGGCCCAGACUCCUACGGGAGGCAGCAGUGGGGAAUUUUGGACAAUGGGGGAAACCCUGAUCCAGCCAUCCCGCGUGUAUGAGAAGGCCUUCGGGUUGUAAAGUACUUUUGGCAGAGAAGCGGUAUCUGCAGAAUAAGCACCGGCUAACUACGUGCCAGCCGCCGCGGUAAUAC
rnacentral:rRNA from 1 species